GGGGCUGGAGAGAUGUCCAGAGGUUAAAAGCACUGACUGCUCUUCUAGAGGUCCUAAGUUCAAAUCCCAGCAACCACAUGGUGGCUCACAACCAUCUAUAAUGAGAUGUGAUACCCUCUCUGGUGUGUCUGAAGACAGUAACAGUGUACUUAUACACAAUAAAUAAAUAAAUCUUAAAAAAAAAAAGAAGUGAUGGAGGAUCUAACAAGACCAUCAGGAGCCAGGUGAUAGUGGCACAUGCCUUUAAUCCCAGUAUUUGGGAGGCAGUGGCAGGUAAAUCCCUGUGAGUUCUGGGCUAGCCUUGUCUACAGAGUGAGUCCAGGGCAGCUAGGGCUACAUAGGGAAACCCUGGAAAACUGUCUCGAAAGACAACAAUAACAAUAAAAGACCAUCAAGGGUUCAAAGUCAGUCUUGCCACCACUCCUUUAUCACACAAGCACACUCUCGAAUACACACACACACACACACACACACACACACACACACACACACACACGGACAAAAUAGCUACAGAGAAAAAAGGGACUGGGACUCAUCAGCAAGGCUAAAUUUAUGACAUUUAAGUGGAAUCACCUAAUGUUUACAUUCUAUACACACACAGUUUUCUAAGACACAUUUAAAUGUACAUUGGUUAAAUUCAACCGCACUGCAAUUAGCCAUGUGGCACGGCAGGAGAGCUCUCACACAGAAGAAAUUCCUUUAGGUUGAUUGACAGGUUCACUCUUUCACAACGAAUCAUUUUCGACAAUACCUUUGGUUCUCAUUUUUAAACUUUGAGAAAAUCUGAGAACUGUUUCGUCACUAAAGACAAUUAAAAUUAAAGAUUUAUAAUUUUCAUUAGCUAUGUUACACAGAUCGAAGCACACCCUGUCCUCUUCCAGGCUGUCACGUGGGAGACAGCACACUCAUACAGCUUGGUAGAUCUUAAGAAACAAGACGGUGACUAAUGACUAAGUUAACCAUUGAGUCCAAUGCUCUCACCUCCACAGCUAACCAAUCAAACCAUGGGUUUCUCCUUCGCGGUGGAACAAGACAUUCCAGUAAAGAACUUAAAACCAGCCCCAGUAAAAGUCUACGAUUAUUAUGAGACAGAUGAAUUCGCCAUUGAAGAAUACAGCGCCCCUUUCAGUUCUGGUACAGUAUACUCGAAUCCUAUGCCAACCUGAAGAAAGCAAAAGAGUCCCUGCUUGGGCCUCCAUACUAGACUGUUUUUUGAGUUUAACGUUUUCUAUUAUUAAUUGGACUGAUUCAAGUACACUGUAGAAAUUCUUAACAGAAAAAAA
rnacentral:lncRNA from 1 species